GAUGAACGCUGGCGGCGUGCCUAAUACAUGCAAGUCGAGCGAACAGAUGAGGAGCUUGCUCCUCUGACGUUAGCGGCGGACGUGUGAGUAACACGUGUAUAACCUACCUAUAAGACUGGGAUAACUUCGGGAAACCGGCGCUAAUCCCGGAUAAUAUAUUGAACCGCAUGGUUCAAUAGUGAAAGACGGUUUUGCUGUCACUUAUAGAUGGAUCCGCGCCGCAUGAGCUAGUUGGUAAGGUAACGGGUUACCAAGGCAACGAUGCGUAGGCGACGUGAGAGGGUGGUCGGCCGCCCUGGAGCGUGGACACGGACCAGAGGCCUACGGGAGGGAGCAGUAGGGAAUGUUCCGCAAUAGGGGAAAGUCUGACGGAGCGACCGCGCGUGAGAGAUGACGGUCUUCGGAUCGGAAAACUCUGUUAUUAGGGGAGAACAAAUGUGUAAGGAACUAUGCACGUCGUGACGGUACCUAAUCAGAAAGCCACGGCUAACUACGUG
rnacentral:rRNA from 1 species